UAAUCUUGGGGCUCAACCCCGAGGCUGCGCCCGAAACUACCUGGCUAGAGGGCGCCAGGGGGAGGCGGAACUCCCGGUGUAGCGGUGAAAUGCGUAGAUAUCGGGGGGAACACCGGAGGCGAAGGCGGCCUCCUGGGGCGCACCUGACGCUGAGGCCCGAAGGCUGGGGGAGCAAAGGGGAUUAGAUACCCCCGUAGUCCCAGCAGUAAACGAUGUGGGCUAGCGGUCUGGUCUUGAGGCUGGGUCGCGAAGGGAAACCGAUAAGCCCACCGCCUGGGGAGUACGCCCGCAAGGGUGAAACUCAAAGGAAUAGACGGGAGCCCGCACAAGCGGCGGAGCGCGUGGUUUAAUUCGAUGCUGACCGAAGAACCUCACCCGGGCUUGACAUCCCGCCUUCAAGCCUGCCCGAAAGGGUAGGUGAGCCUACCGGUGAGGUAGGCAGGCGGGACAGGAGCUGCACGGCUGUCGUCAGCUCGUGUCGUGAGAUGUUGGGUUAAGUCCCGCAACGAGCGCAACCCCUGCCCAUAGUUGCCAGCGGGUCGCCCACGUAGGUGGGCGAUGCUGGGGACUCUAUGGGGACUGCCGGCGAGGAGCCGGAGGAAGGAGGGGGCGACGUCAAGUCCGUGUGGCCCUUAUGUCCGGGGCUACACACGCGCUACAAUGGGCGGUACAGAGGGAAGCGACCCUGAGAGGGGGAGCAAAUCCCUAAAACCGCCCCCAGUUCGGAUUGCAGGCUGAAACCCGCCUGCAUGAAGGAGGAGUCGCUAGUAAUCACCUAUCAGCUAUGGGGUGGUGAAUACGUUCCCGGGCUCUGUACUCACCGCCCGUCACGCCAUGGGAGCCGGGGGUGCCUGAAGCCU
rnacentral:rRNA from 1 species